rnacentral:lncRNA from 9 species
CUCACAUUGUCUUUGAUCCCUGUGGUCUAAAUGGCUGCAUUUUAUAGACUCAGAGGCAUUUAGUGUCUGUUAAGAAAAAAGAUAAUAACCUCCAAAUUCCUAUUGCCUUUUCCCAAAUUAUUUACAGAUUUCAGUUACUAACUGAAAAGAGGGCCUUCAUUCAAAUAUGAAUAAAGGAAGUGAUGUGGCAUUUACUCAACAUUUCAUUUUUUCUUCUUGGUUCUUUUUACUUUCCAGCUGUUCAGUGUCUUUUCUCUUAUGCCCAGACUAUAUACCAGCCUUACCAGUCUUGGCAGAGGAGAGAUGUCUGUCCCAAGAGGAAUAUUGGACUCUCUCCUGUCAUUUGCAUACAAUUCACCUACCCUAAGCUCUGUUUCCAAAGAUACUGGCCUUUCCAUGCUGAAAUGAUGGAGAGUGAAAAUAAGAUAUCAAAUGUUGGCAGCUAUCAGUCUACCUGUAGGGCAGCUGCUGAGACUUUACUGCCUGUAUAUGGACCCUGACUAUCCUCCAGCUCAUAUCAGGACACUUGAGAAGGACCCAAGGAUCACCACUGGGCUCUAAGAAUGAAGGAGGUGAGGACUAAAGUGAAUGUUAUUCUGCAUCACAUGGAGCCCUUCCAAAAGACUGUUGCUGAUGUGUUAUUCAUUCAGAAACCUUGAUUCCUUCCACCUUGUUCAUAACUCCUCACAUCAGAUCAAUAAAAAAAUACCAUUGAUUCUAAUUAACAAGUAUCUUCCAAAGCUUUUUCAACUUUAUCCAUUACCAUCAAUCACAACCCUGAUUCAGACUACAUCAUCUCUGAUCUGGGUUAUUACAACAAUCUUCUAAAUAGUCUCAUGUAUCUAGUCUUGCCUCUUCUUGUUCAUUACAAUGAGGCUAUUAUAUCCAAAAGCUUUUUAAGCUAUGAAACAUAUGGAAAGUACUUUCUGGAAUGAAAACUCAAAGCCACCCAGAUACAAUGUUAUAAGCAGAAUUAUAUGCAAAUCUCCAAUGCCCUCUGGGUUUUAUUGCCUUAUUGCCUUUAGAAAAAAAUCCAUUUUUUCCCCUUUUUUACAAUGUUUCUAACAUUUUUGAUAUUAUGACACAUUGAAAACCAUAAUAUUUAUGUGGCUUUCUGGAAUACUGUAGUGGAGGGGUUAAAGGAGUCUACAUUGAUAUUGGUUUAUUUCUUUAUGUCUUUUUUAGGGCCACAGCCCUGGGGCAUAUGGAAAUUCCCAGGCUAGGGGUUUGAAUAGGAGCUGUAGCUGCCAGUCUACAUCACAGCCAUAGGAAUUCAGAAUUUGAGCCACAUCUGAGACCUACACCACAGAACAGAGCAAUGCUGGAUCCUUAUCCCACUGAGUAAGACCAGGGAUUGAACCAGCAUCCUCAUUGUUACUAGUCAGAUUUGUUUCAGCUGAACCAUGAGGGAAACUCCUGAUACUUUUUUUUUUAAAGUCAUUAAAUUUUAAGUCGAAUAGUUACAAUAGGAAAAAUAAAAUGUAAAGUGUAAGGGAAGAAACUAAAUAAUUUUAUUUGUAUAAAAUUUUUAAAUAAAGUAUUUUAAUUAUUUUUCUACUAAAAUUUUUGAAUUGGUAAAUGUGUUUAUAACUUCUGUAUUAAAAUUUAUGUUUCAAUUGGCUUCACCAAAUUUCUAAUCAAGACUUUUUUUUUAUAAUGAUUAUUUUUUUCCAUUAUAGCUGGUUUACAGUGUUCUGUCAAUUUUCUACUGUACAGCAUGGUGACUCAGUUACACAUACAUGUAUACAUUCUUUUUUCUCACAUUAUCAUGCUCCAUCAUAAGUGACUAGACAUAGUUCCCAGUGCUGCACAGCAGGAUCACAUUGCUAACCAUUCCAGAGGCAAUAGUCCUCAUCUAAUAACCCCAAGCUCCCCA